AAAGAAAGAAACAGUAGAGCAGAGUAAGGAAGAGAAUAAGAAUCUAGUGGCCAGAAGAGGCAAAUUGUAGUAACAAAUAAGAAGAUCCAGAUAGGACGCAUUGAGUCAGUGACAUUUGACCAAAAUUUUGAAAGAGAAGAAAUGUUUCACUAAUUGGAUAUCUAGGAGCGGAGCAUUCCAGGCAGAGGGGACUGCAAGAGCAAAGGCGGUUGCUCAGGAGCCUGCUUGCGGAGACAUCAGGAGCAACGUUAGCAAGAAAAAGGAGGAAAGCAAAGAGGCAUUUACUUUAGGCAUUACAAACUAGCAAAAUGUCCCAACAAUGAAGAAAUACUUACUUUUAAGAAUAAAAUGAAGAAAAUAUGAGAUCUAAGUGAGCAACUGGGAAGUUUACUCCAACAGGUACUAGAGUGCAG
rnacentral:lncRNA from 1 species